rnacentral:lncRNA from 1 species
AAAACUAGAGGCUCUCAAGAGCCUGUGUCGCUCACCUGUUACUGUAUUUACUGAUGUCGGCCAUCUUGGUUGGCAGGCAGGGUCAUUAGACACUUUUUUAAAAUAGAUACCCUAGAAAUGAUUGUGGCCAAGUUUGGUUAAAUUUGGCCCAUAGUUUUAGAAAAGAAGAUUUUUGUACAAGUUACAAAAAUGACGAAAAGUUGUUCAAUAUUGACUAUAAAGGACAAUAACUCCUUAAGGAGUUCUCUGACAAUUUUGGUCAUGUUGACUUAUUUGUAGAUCUUACUUUGCUGAACAUUAUUGCUGUUUACAGUUUAUCUCUAUCUAUAAUAGUAUUCAAGAUACAUGUAAUAACCAAAAACUGCAAAAUUUCCUUACAAUUGCCAUUUCAGGGGCAGCAACCCAACAACCAUUGUCCGAUCCAUCUGAAAAUUUAAUGGGCAGAUAGAUCUUGACCUGAUAAACAAUUAAAUUCCGUUAGAUUUGCUCUAAAUGCUUUGGUUUUUGAGUAAUAAGCCAAAAACUGCAUUUUACCCCUAUGUUCUAUUUUUAGCCGUGGUGGCCAUCUUGGUUGGAUGGCCGGGUCACUGGACACAUUUUUUUAACUAGAUACCCCAAAGAUGAUUUUUGCCAAGUUUGUUUAAAUUUGGCCCAGUAGUUUCAGAGGAGAAGAUUUUUGUAAAAGAUUGCUAAGAUUUACGAAAAAUGGUUAAAAAUUGACUAUAAAGGGCA